rnacentral:lncRNA from 1 species
AAGUUCAGAGAUGGUCCUGCCUCCUGCAUGCUUUAAAUAUCCUAACAAUGUUUCUGUUCCUUUAGCUGCAAAGGAAGCCUUUCAGAACAGUAGGAAGCUCAGCACAGUAACAUCAGGCUCUGUCUACAAACAGAAAAAAAGAGAAAAUGGCAAACACCUGACAUCUGACAUGCUGAGGACUGCAGUGCCAUUGACCUGGGCCACUGAGACCAGGAGACAUCCCCCAGCCAGGAAGGAAACUACUUACAGUCAAGGUAGAGCUUUGUUGGCACAGUCUCUGCAGAGAACUACUGAGUUGUGCUCAUGCUCUGCUUGCCAAGCUACUGAAUAUUAAAUAAAAUGUAGGAGUGAAAACAUGAAAGCAUAAGAGUGUGAAGGGGACAACUACAGAACACAAGGUGUCCCUCUGCCAUAUCUUGACAUGCUAUGAACUGCUUUUCAGCCUGAUUUUCAUUUGGCAGAUAUAACCGCAUUCUAGUUUUCUGGGAAGGACUGGUCCUUAGCACUUUAAUUCUCUCUGUGCAGUUAAGUCUCCUGUUUCAUUCCUUUGCUCCAGCAAAGCUGGAAGGACUGAGAAGCUUCUGUGUAACUGGUGAGUAUUUCAGGAUAUCCAGCUUCCCCUUUUCAUGUAAGACCUUCAUAAAAAUCAGGCACUCUGCUCUCCCCUCCUUUGCAGAAUAUUGAUGUGAUGGCUGGAGACAACUGUCCUGUUCUGUCCUGAGCAUUGUAUCUACAGCAGCAAUUCGUUAGCUCCUCUUUGCCUCCAAAAAGUGCUUCAGGUCAUGGCACAAGCCUUAAGCCUAGGGUUCAACAACUCCUUUUGUUUCACAAUUUGGGAAAACUGAGGUACAACCUAGUUUCAGACUCCAAAUCACAGGCAUUCCUGGAUUAUGCUCAGAUGUUUGAGGACACCUUUCUCUCUUUUGCUCCUUAUUGAAAGGGAAGUGUUAUUUUUCAGCUCACAAAACUUAUUGGCUUGAAGAAAUAGAAGCUUGUAGCCAAAGCUCUUAUUACUCCAACAGGGAUGCUAUAUAUAUAUAUUUUUUAAUGCUGUCUCUGUAAUUAAUCUUGCUGGUGGCCUGACUCAAAAGCUCAUGUGUAGUUAGCUGUCACAGAUCAGUUUAUGGAAAGUCCCCCUUCCCCCUGGGAGCAGUGACAGACUUCAUAAAACUAAGCCCUUCUGGCAGGCUGGCCUAUCUGACUCCAUUAAUCUCCAUGUUGCUUUUUAUUCUCGUUAAGGUACAGCAUGCCUAGAAGGCUCUGCAGGACUUGCCUGAUGAUAUGUGAGCAGUGAGGAUGGAGGUUAUCUAUACAUUGUGAAACAAAUAUUUUAU